GACGAACGCUGGCGGCGUGCUUAACACAUGCAAGUCGAACGGAAAGGCCCUGCUUUUGUGGGGUGCUCGAGUGGCGAACGGGUGAGUAACACGUGAGUAACCUGCCCUUGACUUUGGGAUAACUUCAGGAAACUGGGGCUAAUACCGGAUAGGAGCUCCUGCUGCAUGGUGGGGGUUGGAAAGUUUCGGCGGUUGGGGAUGGACUCGCGGCUUAUCAGCUUGUUGGUGGGGUAGUGGCUUACCAAGGCUUUGACGGGUAGCCGGCCUGAGAGGGUGACCGGCCACAUUGGGACUGCGGUACGGCCCAGACUCCUACGGGAGGCAGCAGUGGGGAAUAUUGCCCAAUGGGCGGACGCCUGAUGCGGCAACGCCGCGUGCGGGAUGACGGCCUUCGGGUUGUAAACCGCUUUCGCCUGUGACGAAGCGUGAGUGACGGUAAUGGGUAAAGAAGCACCGGCUAACUACGUG
rnacentral:rRNA from 1 species